rnacentral:lncRNA from 1 species
ACAUUGACUGCUUCCUCUACUACACCCUCCUCCUCUUUCUUCUGUUCUAACUGAGUGGAAAUUCGUUUCGUUUUCCGUCCUCUUACAGGGGCAACCGACAUCGAUUCUGGUGCCUCCUACGGUUGAUCAGGUUGGUCAGUCCCGAUGCUCUUACCCUCCAGCUCGUCUCGGAGUCUAUCUCGCUGGAUUAUGAGAGUGCUUAGUUCAGAUUCGAGCUCGGCUUGAUGAGACUGAAUUUCGGUUAUCUCACUUUGGAGACUGAAUUUUGCGUGCUGGAGGGCAUCUCGCUCAGUUCGGAGUAUAUCCCGUUCAGCCUCGAGGGAGUUCCUCUCGAACUGGAGUGUGUCUCGCUCAGACCAGAGAUUCUCCUUCUCGGCUUGGAGAUUCUCUCGCUCAGCCCGGAAAUUAUCCUUCUCAGCUUGGAAACCCUUUCGCUCGGCCCAGAGACUCUCCUUCUCGGCUCGGAAACCCUUUCACUCGGCCCAGAGACUCUCCUUCUCGGCUAGGAAAACCCUUUCGCUCGGCUCAGAGACUCUCCUUCUCGGCUUGGAAACCCUUUUGCUCGGCCCAGAGACUCUCCUUCUCGGCUUGGACAAUCCUUCUCUCAAUUUCUAGAAUUCUUUCCCUCUCUGGGAUAGUAUUAAAUAAGGCCCGAUAAGCAUUAGCCAGGCCCCAAAUCAUUUGUGCCUCCUCAGAUCUGCCUAGGCCACAACAUCUCUGUCUCAAAUAUCUGUUCAGGCUCUCAGGAUCUUUUAGGUGUUCAGGAGUAAAGUUCCAUGACACCGAACAUGUCCACCUCUCUAAAGUCUCUCCCAAGUCUCUCCAUACACCCUGCCACUCAGUAUUCUCUGGUUUUGGAGGGGACUUCUUCAGAAUACGAUAAUUCCAGAUACUGAGUGAAAUAAUUACAAUGGCAAACAGCGCAUUCAGGGAGAUUAACAAUGUGGUCAGGUGAGCAUUCAAACAAUUCAUAAAGGAUUCGCAAGAGAGACUGGGAACCUGCUUCAAAAUCACAGAUUCUGUGAAAUUAGUAGUUCUCCCUACAAACUGGUUUAAAACAGAAAGGAGAAUCAUUUUUUUUAUAUUUUUUUUCCUUCCUUUUUACUAAAGCAAGAUAACAGUGCUCAAAGUUUACAAAAUAUCUGAGUAUUGGCAGUCCGCCUGGACUUUCAAGGUCAAGUUUUUCAGUGAGCACCUAUGAAAGAGAUAAACUUUCCCAACGAAGCUCUCCGAGAGCAGAGAGAGAUUUGUUCUAAAAAGCUAAAAAAGCAGCUGUUUGCCCGCAUUCUCCACCAAAAAUGUCAACGGUUUAAGGGCUGGUCCGGCCCGGUUCCACGACUAGUGGGGCGGAGGGAUUUCACAAAAUCCGCACCUCCAGGAAGGGAAACAGGGGACCCCAAAAUAAUUAAAAACAGCGGCAACGAUCUGAGGAGAAACAAACUAAUUUUACUAAAUAUAGUAUCGGAAUGUAAGAUAACACACUAUAAUACAAUAUAAAUCAACAAUAAUUGAGAGAAAGAUUGUCCUAGAGUCAAAGGCCUUACGCUAUUACUGAAGCCUUGCGUGCAGUUGGGAGCAGCAGUAGCGAGCCGAUCCGACAGGGAACACAGCGAGACGAGAAGAGAGGACGAGUCAGAAAACCUGCGCCCUUAUAUCUGUUCCCUUGAGCAGGAAUGAUAACAGUACUCGAAAAGGCUCUUGGGGAACGUAGUUCUUCUUCUCUUCCAGACAGGUACACUUUAGACGUAACUAAAGCAUUUGCUCUUUAACUCCCAGUACACUGCAUGAUGUUGUGAUGUGGAAUACUGAUAACCAAAAAUCAUAAAACCAUGACAAUUUUAUUUUUACCAUCAGAAGGUUAAAUAAAUGAAUUUCC